rnacentral:lncRNA from 1 species
CAUACUUAACGUUUGUAUUCUACUUUGGAAAAGUCACCAUUUUGCAUUCAACUCUUUUUGCAUUCUUCUCUUUUUCUCUAUUUUUCUUUCCUUUCUUUCUUCAUGUGUUUUUUUUUUUUUUUUUUUUUUUUUUUUUUUUUUUUUUUUUUUUUUUUUUUUUUUUUUUUUUUUUUUUUCUCUAUUUUUCUUUCCUUUCUUUCUUCAUGUGUGUGCAUGUAGGUUUUAGUGUCUUUAAACCAAAAUGACUUAUUAUAUCACAUGAAUCUGUGGGUCGAUUGAGCUCAUCUGGAUGGCCUGGUUCACUUUUUUUUUUUUUAAAAUCCAAUCUUUAUUUAAAAAUCGACUCUGCCAGCUUAGCGUUUUCCACCAACUUGGGGAGCUAAAACUUUCACAGGCUUCACAACUUUUUGCUUAGGUGCUGCCUUUGUAGGUGCUUAGCAGCAGCCAUUGCAGUCUUUUUAGAUGCUUGCUUAGCCGUUUUUUGCUUCCUUAGCGGCCCUGAUAGCUUAUUCUCAUUGAUCCUUUCUAACUUCAGGUUUCUGAUUCCUCUUGGCCAUUAUAUCAGCAACAGAUGCAUCAGUAAUGGCCCUCUGGAAUUUGACCGCUUGACGGGUUCUUUUCUUUUGAAUUUCUUCUGACUGUCCCUUUUUGUGCUUCAUUCUGUAGAGAACAAUGCAGUUUAUCUGUCGAGGAUUCCUCUUGGAAAGGAACACCUACUCACAUUUUGAAUUAAGAAACUGGAAAACCUUCCCAUCGGUCCUGGCAUAGCACCUCCCGUGUCCGGAGUAGAACUUGUACCUGCUGAAACUGCACAGCUCAACCUUCAUGGCGGCAGCUCCAAGGGAGGAGGAAAAAGAUGCAACUUGAACUCUCUAGUAUUUCCAGUCUUGCUUGCAAUCUCCCAAGUAGUCCCAGCACCAGAGAACACCCUCAAACAGAGAGGUGGAGGAUGUCCUGGACUGUACAGACACUAUGAAGGUAACCUGCAGGCUUGAUGUUAACAAAAUAUGUAUUAUCAAUGUAAUGACAGCAGAAUAGUCCAUCUCAUUGAUGAGUCUUGGGAAUUUGAGAGCAAGAAAGUUUGAAAGAGCUAAAAUGUCAAUCUAGG